GCAUAACGCGAAGAACCUUACCCACCUUUGACAUGUACGGAAUCCUUUAGAGAUAGAGGAGUGCUCGAAAGAGAGCCGUAACACAGGUGCUGCAUGGCUGUCGUCAGCUCGUGUCGUGAGAUGUUGGGUUAAGUCCCGCAACGAGCGCAACCCUUGCCAUUAGUUGCUACGAAAGGGCACUCUAAUGGGACUGCCGGUGACAAACCGGAGGAAGGUGGGGAUGACGUCAAGUCCUCAUGGCCCUUAUAGGUGGGGCUACACACGUCAUACAAUGGCUGGUACAAAGGGUUGCCAACCCGCGAGGGGGUAGCCAAUCCCAUAAAGCCAGUCGUAGUCCGGAUCGCAGUCUGCAACUCGACUGCGUGAAGUCGGAAUCGCUAGUAAUCGUGGAUCAGCAUGUCACGGUGAAUACGUUCCCGGGUC
rnacentral:rRNA from 1 species